UACGUAGGGGGCAAGCGUUGUCCGGAUUCAUUGGGCGUAAAGAGCGUGUAGGCGGCCAGGUAGGUCGGUUGUGAAAACUGGAGGCUCAACCUUCAGAGGUCGACCGAAACCAUCUGGCUAGAGUCCGGGAGAGGAGAGUGGAAUUCCUGGUGUAGCGGUGAAAUGCGCAGAUAUCAGGAGGAACACCAGUGGCGAAAGCGCCUUGCUGGGCCAGUACUGACACUGAGGAACGAAAGCCAGGGGAGCGAAAGGG
rnacentral:rRNA from 1 species